rnacentral:rRNA from 1 species
GACGAACGCUGGCGGCGUGCUUAACACAUGCAAGUCGAACGAUGAAGCUGGAGCUUGCUCCGGUGGAUUAGUGGCGAACGGGUGAGUAACACGUGAGCAACCUGCCCUUGACUCUGGGAUAACUGCGGGAAACUGUAGCUAAUACCGGAUACGACCCUCGGCGGCAUCGCCAGGGGGUGGAAAGAAUUUCGGUCAAGGAUGGACUCGCGGCCUAUCAGCUAGUUGGUGAGGUAACGGCUCACCAAGGCGACGACGGGUAGCCGGCCUGAGAGGGUGACCGGCCACACUGGGACUGAGACACGGCCCAGACUCCUACGGGAGGCAGCAGUGGGGAAUAUUGCACAAUGGGCGCAAGCCUGAUGCAGCAACGCCGCGUGAGGGAUGACGGCCUUCGGGUUGUAAACCUCUUUUAGUAGGGAAGAAGCGAAAGUGACGGUACCUGCAGAAAAAGCACCGGCUAACUACGUGCCAGCCGCCGCCGUAA